CCUACGGGUGGCAGCAGUGGGGAAUAUUGCACAAUGGGCGCAAGCCUGAUGCAGCCAUGCCGCGUGUGUGAAGAAGGCCUUCGGGUUGUAAAGCACUUUCAGCGGGGAGGAAGGCGGUGAGGUUAAUAACCUCAUCGAUUGACGUUACCCGCAGAAGAAGCACCGGCUAACUCCGUGCCAGCAGCCGCGGUAAUACGGAGGGUGCAAGCGUUAAUCGGAAUUACUGGGCGUAAAGCGCACGCAGGCGGUCUGCCAAGUCGGAUGUGAAAUCCCCGGGCUCAACCUGGGAACUGCAUUCGAAACUGGCAGGCUAGAGUCUUGUAGAGGGGGGUAGAAUUCCAGGUGUAGCGGUGAAAUGCGUAGAGAUCUGGAGGAAUACCGGUGGCGAAGGCGGCCCCCUGGACAAAGACUGACGCUCAGGUGCGAAAGCGUGGGGAGCAAACAGGAUUAGAUACCCGAGUAGUC
rnacentral:rRNA from 1 species